GAUGAACGCUGGCGGCGUGCCUAAUACAUGCAAGUCGAGCGAACGGACGAGAAGCUUGCUUCUCUGAUGUUAGCGGCGGACGGGUGAGUAACACGUGAAUAACCUACCUAUAAGACUGGGAUAACUUCGGGAAACCGGAGCUAAUACCGGAUAAUAUUUUGAACCGCAUGGUUCAAAAGUGAAAGACGGUCUUGCUGUCCCUUAUACAUGGAUCCGCGCUGCAUUAGCUAGUUGGUAAGUUAACGGCUUACCAAGGCAACGAUGCAUAGCCGACCUGAGAGGGUGAUCGGCCACACUGGAACUGAGACACGGUCCAGACUCCUACGGGAGGCAGCAGUAGGGGAUCUUCCGCAAUGGGCGAAAGCCUGACGGAGCAACGCCGCGUGAGUGAUGAAGGUCUUCGGAUCGUAAAACUCUGUUAUUAGGGAAGAACAUAUGUGUAAGUAACUGUGCACAUCUUGACGGUACCUAAUCAGAAAGCCACGGCUAACUACGUG
rnacentral:rRNA from 1 species